AUUCCCGGGCCCUGGCUUCUUGACGCGAUGAGGUUCCGGUUCUGUGGUGAUCUGGACUGUCCCGACUGGGUCCUGGCAGAAAUCAGCACGCUGGCCAAGAUGGUUAAUCCUCUGUGAAGUUGCGGCUGCUCUGCAGCCAGGUACUAAAGGAGCUGCUGGGACAGGGGAUUGAUUAUGAGAAGAUCCUGAAGCUCACGGCUGACGCCAAGUUUGAGUCAGGCGAUGUGAAGGCCACAGUGGCAGUGCUGAGUUUCAUCCUCUCCAGUGCGGCCAAGCACAGUGUCGAUGGCGAAUCCUUGUCCAGUGAACUGCAGCAGCUGGGGCUGCCCAAAGGUACGGGUUGUGGGUUGGCAGCUGGGCAGCCUGUCGGCCAAGGGCUGCUAGAGAGGGGACAGGCCCUGAGGUGUACCCUGCCCUGUUUGGGCCAGGAGCCCAAGCCCAGCCCCCACCUGCUACCUCCAGAGCUUCUCCAUUCUACCCCCAGAGCACGCGGCCAGCCUGUGCCGCUGUUAUGAGGAGAAGCAAAGC
rnacentral:sRNA from 1 species